rnacentral:rRNA from 1 species
GAUGAACGCUAGCUACAGGCUUAACACAUGCAAGUCGAGGGACCGGCGCACGGGUGAGUAACACGUAUCCCACCUGCCCUUUACUCGGGGAUAGCCUUUCGAAAGCAAGAUUAAUACCCGAUAUAAAGGAUGGGGAUGCGUUCCUUUAGGUUGUUGGUGAGGUAACGGCGCACCAAGCCUUCGAUGGAUAGGGGUUCUGGGAGGAAGGUCCCCCACAAUGGAACUGAGACACGGUCCAAACUCCUACGGGAGGCAGCAGUGAGGAAUAUUGGUGAAUGAGCGGUAGCCUGACCCAGCCAAGUAGCGUGAAGGAUGAAGUCGUAUGGGUCGUAAACUUCUUGUAUAUAAGAAUAUGUAUUAUAUGAAUAAGGAUCGGCUAACUCCGUGCCAGCAGCCGCGGUAAUUC